GACGAACGCUGGCGGCGUGCUUAACACAUGCAAGUCGAACGGAAAGGCCCUGCUUUUGUGGGGUGCUCGAGUGGCGAACGGGUGAGUAACACGUGAGUAACCUGCCCUUGACUUUGGGAUAACUUCAGGAAACUGGGGCUAAUACCGGAUAGGAGCUCCUGCUGCAUGGUGGGGGUUGGAAAGUUUCGGCGGUUGGGGAUGGACUCGCGGCUUAUCAGCUUGUUGGUGGGGUAGUGGCUUACCAAGGCUUUGACGGGUAGCCGGCCUGAGAGGGUGACCGGCCACAUUGGGACUGAGAUACGGACCAGACUCCUACGGGAGGCAACAGUGGGGAAUAUUGCACAAUGGGCGGAAGCCUGAUGCAGAAACGCCGCGUGCGGGAUGACGGCCUUCGGGUUGUAAACCGCUUUCGCCUGUGACGAAGCGUGAGUGACGGUAAUGGGUAAAGAAGCACCGGCUAACUACGUG
rnacentral:rRNA from 1 species